GGACGACCUGGUAGAGGGGCAUUAAAAUGGAGGAAAGAAGGUAACUUGAAAUUUCAAUGGUUUUUAGAGUCAACAUUUUCUAGGGAGACAGCAUAGCAUAGCCCGAAGAGUUUCGAAGUUAACAACGUAACUAUUCGCGAAUAACACAGAUUUAGAGAAGCUUCCCGGUCAUUUUUGUUUUCUUAUAUUUCUAUUUUAUUGGGUUUGAUAGGAUGAAUGUCAGGUACUUCUGACAGUAGCACCUGUAGAGCCGGAGAAAGAACAGUCCGAAACCGUGCCACCCGCGUUGUGUAACACUAACAACAAUGUGAGUGGGGAGAAGGAUGUCGGCAAUAAGGAUGAACCUCAAGAGUCUGCACCUCCCGCCUCACCAGAAAUGGUUGCGUCUUCAACGCCAAAGCCGCCUACAAAGCCAAGACGAUUGUAUCAGGACCAGUUGAGCUUCCUUGAUGACCUUCUCGAAAAGAGAGAAGACGUUUCUAUACACGAAAAACUCGACAUAAUUAUUGAAAACCAGAAAGCAUUUUUUAAGUUUAUGGCUGAUGUAAUGAGGGGAGGGUUUGUAGGUACACAUGUACGUAAUGACGUUAAUCGGGGUUUAGGGCAUGUGCCAAAUAUGGAGGGAG